GCGGAGGAAAAGAAACCAACAGGGAUUGCCCUAGUAACGGCGAGUGAAGCGGCAACAGCUCAAAUUUGAAAGCUGGCCUUCGGGUCCGCAUUGUAAUUUGUAGAGGAUGCUUUGGGUGAAACGCCAGUCUAAGUUCCUUGGAACAGGACGUCAUAGAGGGUGAGAAUCCCGUAUGUGACUGGAAAUGUUAACCUAUGUAAAGCUCCUUCGACGAGUCGAGUUGUUUGGGAAUGCAGCUCUAAAUGGGAGGUAAAUUUCUUCUAAAGCUAAAUAUUGGCGAGAGACCGAUAGCGCACRAGUAGAGUGAUCGAAAGAUGAAAAGCACUUUGGAAAGAGAGUUAAAAAGCACGUGAAAUUGUUGAAAGGGAAGCGCUUGCAAUCAGACUUGUUUAAACUGUUCGGCCGGUCUUCUGACCGGUUUACUCAGUUUGGACAGGCCAGCAUCAGUUUCGGCGGCCGGAUAAAGGCUCUGGGAAUGUGGCCUUCACUUCGGUGAAGGUGUUAUAGCCCAGGGUGUAAUACGGCCAGCCGGGACUGAGGUCCGCGCUUCGGCUAGGAUGCUGGCGUAAUGGUUGUAAGCGACCCGU
rnacentral:rRNA from 1 species